UACGUAGGGGGCAAGCGUUAUCCGGAUUUACUGGGUGUAAAGGGAGCGUAGACGGCACGGCAAGCCAGAUGUGAAAGCCCGGGGCUCAACCCCGGGACUGCAUUUGGAACUGCUGAGCUAGAGUGUCGGAGAGGCGAGUGGAAUUCCUAGUGUAGCGGUGAAAUGCGUAGAUAUUAGGAGGAACACCAGUGGCGAAGGCGGCUUGCUGGACGAUGACUGACGUUGAGGCUCGAAAGCGUGGGGAGCAAACAGG
rnacentral:rRNA from 1 species